GACGUAGGGCGCGAGCGUUGUCCGGAUUUAUUGGGCGUAAAGAGCUCGUAGGCGGCUUGUCGCGUCGUUCGUGAAAACCCGGGGCUCAACUCCGGGCUUGCGGGCGAUACGGGCAGGCUAGAGUGCGGGUAGGGAGAUUGGAAUUCCUGGUGUAGCGGUGGAAUGCGCAGAUAUCAGGAGGAACACCAGUGGCGAAGGCAGGAUCUCUGGGCCGUAACUGACGUGACUGAGGAGCGAAAGCAGUGGGGAGCGAACAGGAUUAGA
rnacentral:rRNA from 1 species